AGAGUCCUGAAGUGUUCGUUGCAUUACCUGAAAUAUUGACCGAACAUUAUUCCUUCGGGAGUCCAGAGUUUUUCGGCAGCGCAAAUGCCUCGGCCCAUAGCGGAUUAGGGGACUUGCAAAACAGAGAACAGGACACCCACCUGCUAAGUGCGGGAUCAAUAUGAAGGACCACGAGCGACGGCACGAUUGGGACUCUU
rnacentral:other from 1 species